UAGGGAAUCUUCCACAAUGGACGCAAGUCUGAUGGAGCAACGCCGCGUGAGUGAAGAAGGCUUUCGGGUCGUAAAACUCUGUUAUUGAAGAAGAACGUGUGUGACAGUAACUGGUCAUGCAGUGACGGUAUUCAAUCAGAAAGUCACGGCUAACUUACGUGCCAGCAGCCGCGGUAAUACGUAGGUGGCAAGCGUUGUCCGGAUUUAUUGGGCAGUAAAGCGAGUGCAGGCGGGUCUUUUAAGUCUGAUGUGAAAGCCU
rnacentral:rRNA from 1 species